GAUGAACGCUAGCGGCAGGCCUAAUACAUGCAAGUCGAACGAGGUUUGGUAGCAAUAUCAAACUUAGUGGCGCACGGGUGCGUAACGCGUAUGCAACCUACCUUCAACUGGGGAAUAGCCCCUCGAAAGAGGGAUUAAUACCCCAUAGUAAUUAGAUAAGGCAUCUUAUUUAGUUUAAAGUUCCGGCGGUUGAAGAUGGGCAUGCGUGACAUUAGCUAGUUGGUGAGGUAAUGGCUCACCAAGGCUACGAUGUCUAGGGGUUCUGAGAGGAUGAUCCCCCACACUGGUACUGAGACACGGACCAGACUCCUACGGGAGGCAGCAGUGGGGAAUCUUGGACAAUGGGCGCAAGCCUGAUCCAGCCAUGCCGCGUGAGUGAAGAAGGUCUUCGGAUUGUAAAGCUCUUUUGCCAGGGACGAUAAUGACGGUACCUGGAGAAUAAGCCCCGGCAAACUUCGUG
rnacentral:rRNA from 1 species